AAGUCGUAACAAGGUUUCCGUAGGUGAACCUGCGGAAGGAUCAUUAACAAAUCAUUGCGGGCUUCGGCUCACAUAUACCCGGCCGCAAGGCCAGGUCUUUUGGACCGGAUGGGCCGACAGGCCUGUUUGGCUCCACAUUAACGCUUGAUUGUUUGACUGUGUGAUGGUUAUUAAAUAAUGACAACUUUUAACAAUGGAUCUCUUGGCUCUU
rnacentral:misc_RNA from 1 species